GAUGAACGCUGGCGGCGUGCCUAAUACAUGCAAGUCGAACGAAGAUCUAGCUUGCUAGAUCUUAGUGGCGAGCGGGUGAGUAAUACAUAAAUAAUCUGCCCAUAUGACCGGGAUAACUAUUGGAAACGAUAGCUAAUACCGGACAGGUUGAUUGGAGGCAUCUCUGAUUAAUUAAAGUAGGAUUUCUACACAAAUGGAUGAGUUUAUGGCGCAUUAGUUAGUUGGUGGGGUAACGGCCUACCAAGACGAUGAUGCGUAGCCGACCUGAGAGGGUGACCGGCCACACUGGGACUGAGACACGGCCCAGACUCCUACGGGAGGCAGCAGUAGGGAAUUUUCGGCAAUGGGCGCAAGCCUGACCGAGCAACGCCGCGUGAGUGAUUAAGGCCUUCGGGUUGUAAAGCUCUGUUGUAAGGGAAGAACAUUCAGGAUAGGAAAUGAUCUUGAACUGACGGUACCUUACCAGAAAGCCACGGCUAACUACGUGCCAGCAGCCGCAGUAAAAC
rnacentral:rRNA from 1 species